AUGUCACGUAAUAGCCUUACUUUUCAAGAUAUUUUUCACUUUUCUAUCUCUUUAACCCUAGAAACUCUUCACUCUUAUCACUUUUUCACUUCACACCUUCUCUUUCUCUCUCUCACUUUAUUCACUUGUGCAUACUAUUCCCCUUUCUUCUCCAUCUCCAAAGUUUGCAGCAACAUCAGGCAUGGCCCCAAAAGACUUGUUACCUCAAAGAAGCCGAAAACCGCAGAGGUAGAAUCUUCAAGAGUGCAAGAACCCUUCGACCGAAUAAAAUUUCUCGGACUUGAGCAACAGGAUAGGUAUGAUGAGCUAAUUGGAAGGAGCAUCUGGUCUAAGAGAAUUUUUUAG